UUACGAGAAAUAACAAGUUCAUCGUUAAUGUUCAUCGAAAAGAUAAAGAGAAAUAAGAAAAAUAAAAUAGUGUUCGUCGUUAUUCUCAAUUCCCAGUAGCGCCAUGUUUUUAUUGUCGUAGGCCGACCUCAAAUUUCCCUCAUCUCCGUCUGUCCGACCUAAAACCCUCAAUAAUGGUUCUUUCUCUUCCCCCUCUCUAUAUCCUUGAAUUCGCAGUUUUCCGAUUCUUGUUAUUCUAAAUGAAAAUAAUGGGUUCUCUCUCUUCCCCCUCUCUAUAUCCUUGACCAAAGAUGCAGUGGAAUUAGUCCAUGUACGGCGGGCGCCAUUAACCUUGAAUUCGAUCUCCCUAUGCGCAACAACAUUUGCUUUUUUGGUAAUGUUUUCUCCCUCUUUUUUACAUUUUCUUGCUUUUUUCCUUUAAAAAUAAAUCAGGGUUUGAUUUAGCCUCUCUAGUUCAAGUGAUUGAAAUUGUGUUCAGAUAACGCUGACAAUUUUUUGAAUUGCAAUUAUCUAAUUCGAUCUUUGUCAGUUCCGCAAGGUAUUUUUCUUUAAUUAAUAAUUUAAUACCAUUAAUCUCAAGCCUUUUUUUGUAUGAAUUGAAUUAGUAGUUGAAUCUUGUAUGAAGGCAAAACUGAUUUUGUUCUCUUCUGCGUUUGGGGUUUAAUCUUAUCGUUACUUUAUUUUGGAUUGAAAGAGUCCAGUUUAUGGUUUAGGAAUAGAGUUAGGUUUUUAAUAAACUAAAAGUUAUGUUUGAUUCUUUGUUGCUUCUAAGUAUGUAUAUUAUGGCAAGCAUUUACGCAAACACAAACAAGAACUUGAAGUGCUUUUAUGUAUUCUUACGUUAGGAGCAUUAGCCUUUUUGUUCCUUAAUUUGGUUGGAGAUUUAUGUAAUUAGUGUCCACCUUCGUUUUCAAAGUUAUUUUAAUGUAAUGUCCUUUAAGAAACUUUUGUUUUUGAAUCAUGGCUUGCUGAUCCAUAUGGACUUCGUUCUACAACACAAGAGGAUUCAGAUUCUUCCUCUAACAAAAUGUCUGGCACACAGUCGUUGCGGGGCGAUACUGCAUUGAUAUUACUAAGUACCUUGGUUCUGCGGCUUUCAGCAAAGUUGUUCAGGCUCAAGAUAUCCAGACUGGAGUUUAUGCUUGCCUGAAAGUCAUUAAAAAUGACAGAUUUUGUUUGUAAAAGUUUGGACGAAAUCGAACUUCUCAAGUAUGUCAAUAAGAAUGAUCCUGCAGAUAAGCACCACAUUUUACAUCUCUGUGACUACUUUUACCAUCAGAUAAGAAAGUUCCACUAGAAACCUAAUUUCUAAGCAAAAGCGCAAGGCUGGUGGAGAUCCAAGAGAGUUGGAGUUCUUCACAUUCUCAUCCAGCGGAAUGGGUUACGGAGCAAGCUCCUGAGGUAGAUGACGUGUACUGGCCAUUUUCCAAGCAACGUUCUUGCAAAGAUGGAUGUCUAGAGUGGUGAUAAUAGUCGCAAGCACACUUCUGAUUCUUCUAUUUCUUAUACCAGUUGUGCUUGUACAAGUCUUGCCAAUCUGUCCCAACUGGAGGUCUGGUUCCCCUUCCUGACAAGCAUUUUAACCGCAUUUGGAGAGAAGAAAUCAAGGAGGAAGAAGGUUUAUUGAAGUCUGCAUGGAAGGAGGCUACCCUGAAGAGCUCUCAAGCUUUUGUCAAACUACAGUUUUUGCAUAUAGUUUUGUAUUGAUCAACUAGUUAGAUUUUUAUUUUGUUCUUUUAGAUUGAACAAGAAUUACGUAUCUUUUAGGUUUUUUAGAAUUUAAAGACAAGGGGAUGUGAUUUUUGAUAACAUAACUUGAAAUUCUAUUGUCAAAAAUAUUUUGAGUAAUGAA